rnacentral:rRNA from 1 species
CAGUCGCCGCGGUAAUACGAAGGGUGCAAGCGUUAAUCGGAAUUACUGGGCGUAAAGCGUGCGCAGGCGGUUAUAUAAGACAGAUGUGAAAUCCCCGGGCUCAACCUGGGACCUGCAUUUGUGACUGUAUAGCUAGAGUACGGUAGAGGGGGAUGGAAUUCCGCGUGUAGCAGUGAAAUGCGUAGAUAUGCGGAGGAACACCGAUGGCGAAGGCAAUCCCCUGGACCUGUACUGACGCUCAUGCACGAAAGCGUGGGGAGCAAACAGGAUUAGAUACCCGCGUAGUCCCUGUCUCUUAUAC